CCUGCCUCCGGGUAAAGAGGUGUAUGCGGUAGUCGAUCUCUAUGGCCAGUGUGUCCAAGUGUCCAUCACCAAUGCCACCGGCCCCAUGGACAACAGCCUGGCGACCAGCAACACUGCCACCGAGAAGUCCUUCCCACUGCACUCUCCAGUGGCCGGCGUGGCUCACCGAUUCCACAGCACUUGCGGCAAGAAUGUCACUCUAGAGGAGGAUGGCACGAGGGCAGUGCGUGCCGCUGGCUAUGCCCAUGGCCUUGUCUUCAGUACCAAGGAGCUGAGGGCUGAGGAAGUCUUUGAGGUAGGCUGUAGCGAUGUGACAGAGGGGCUGCGAGGCCCAUCACGACAGGGCCAGCUCAUGUUUUCUCUGUCUCAUAGGUGAAAGUGGAAGAGCUAGAUGAGAAGUGGGCAGGUUCCCUGCGGCUGGGGCUGACCACACUAGCACCGGGGGAGAUGGGACCCGGGGCAGGUGGUGGUGGCCCAGGGCUGCCUCCUUCCCUGCCAGAGCUCCGGACGAAGACCACUUGGAUGGUAUCCAGCUGUGAAGUGAGGCGUGAUGGGCAGCUCCAGAGGAUGAACUAUGGCCGGAACCUAGAGAGGCUGGGGGUGGGGAGCUGUGUGGGUGUUCGUCGGGGGGCAGAUG
rnacentral:sRNA from 1 species